CCUACGUGUGGCUGCAGUGGGGAAUAUUGGACAAUGGGCGAAAGCCUGAUCCAGCCAUGCCGCGUGUGUGAAGAAGGCCUUCGGGUUGUAAAGCACUUUCAGUGGGGAAGAAAGCCUUGGGGCUAAUACCCUCGAGGAACGACAUCACCCACAGAAGAAGCACCGGCUAACUCCGUGCCAGCAGCCGCGGUAAUACGGAGGGUGCGAGCGUUAAUCGGAAUUACUGGGCGUAAAGCGCGCGUAGGCGGUCUGAUAAGCCGGUUGUGAAAGCCCCGGGCUCAACCUGGGAACGGCAUCCGGAACUGUCAGGCUAGAGUGCAGGAGAGGAAGGUAGAAUUCCCGGUGUAGCGGUGAAAUGCGUAGAGAUCGGGAGGAAUACCAGUGGCGAAGGCGGCCUUCUGGACUGACACUGACGCUGAGGUGCGAAAGCGUGGGUAGCAAACAGGAUUAGAUACCCCUGUAGUC
rnacentral:rRNA from 1 species